GGCGGUGCGGCGGCAGCGCAGGGCGCUCGUGCGGGGCCGGGCAGGGGCUGGUGGGCGCUCCUUGCCACCUUUCUGCUCUCCCUACUGUCCGAGAAGUUCGUGCGGUGCCAGCCCAGCUCCCAGCUGGGGACAGAACAGGAAACGUCCCCGGCGAGCCUGGCGGGGGUGGCGGCAGGGGUGUCUGUCGCCUGCGCUGGGCAGGACGCGCGUCCUACCGGCCUCCCACUCCGCAGGCCUCACCAGCCACCUCACUCCCGCAGCCCGGGCCGCCGAGAGCACCGCGGAUGGACCUCAGGGAAGGCCUGGCGCGCCGCCUCCGGGAAGCCUUCCGGCUUUCUCCCUCCACCGAGUACUGGGGAGUCUCAGGCCACGGUGAAUGAAGAGCGACGGGCCGGAGAGACCUCGGCCUCUGUCCAGGAGCAGCGCCCAGCAACCCGGCCCACAGGGGACCCGGUGGACGUCCUGGUGGCCACUUUGCCAGGCCCCCCCAUCUCCCAGCGAACCAGAGGGGGUUUCCGUUCCCCUCCUGCUUGGUGCCUAGCGCCAGGGCGGGGCGGGGGCUGAGCAGCUCCUCCCAUGGACGGAGCGGCCAGUCUACAUAUUGAAGGAGGGGCUCCGGGGAAAGGGUGUUGUUAGGAAGGCGGUUUGAAGCAGCGGGAGGUGGGGAUGCGCCCGGCAGGGAGGGGCAGGUGUGGGGGAGGGCCUGGGCAGCGCCUCCCCAGCCAGGCCCCGCAGCUGGACCCCGUCUCCGUCCAGCCUGGGAAAGGACUCCACGGUUUUUGCUGAAGUGGUGGUGGGGUGGGUGAACGCUGCGCAAUGGAAGGGCAUGGCCCUGUGCUAAUUGCCCCGGGGUGUGGGGCUGUGGAGGCACUGCGGUGGGGGGAUGUGCUGUGUCACUUGGGCAAUGGUGGCCAACUGUGGCGUGAAGGCCUUGGAGCUGCCCCUCCACGGAGCUUUAAUAAAGGCACUGGCCCUGCAA
rnacentral:lncRNA from 1 species